rnacentral:tRNA from 1 species
GGAUUGUGGCUCAGUGGUACAGCGCUCGCCUACUAUGUAUGAGGCACUGGGUUCGAUCCUCAGCACCA